UACAGAGGUCCCAAGCGUUGUCCGGAAUCACUGGGCGUAAAGCGCGCGCAGGCGGCUGUCUACGUCCGGGGGGAAAGCCCAGAGCUCAACUCUGGGAUUGCCUUGGAUACGGGAUAGCUUGAGGAUCGGAGAGGCAAGGGGAAUUCCACGUGUAGCGGUGAAAUGCGUAGAGAUGUGGAGGAACACCUGUGGCGAAGGCGCCUUGCUGGCCGAUUUCUGACGCUGAGGCGCGAAAGCGUGGGGAGCAAACAGG
rnacentral:rRNA from 1 species